AAUGAACGUUGGCGGCGUGGAUUAGGCAUGCAAGUCGUACGAGAAUCGUAGCAAUACGAGGAAAGUGGCGGAAGGGAGAGGAUUACGUGGGAAUCUACCCUCAGAACUGGGAUAACGGCGGGAAACUGCCGGUAAUACCAGAUAAUGUCUGUGAACCAAGGGUGUGAUUCCGUCUGGGGAUGAGCCCACGUCCUAUUAGCUAGUUGGCAGGGUAAUGGCCUACCAAGGCAAUGAUGGGUAGCGGGUGUGAGAGCAUGACCCGCCUCACUGGGACUGAGAACUGCCCAGACACCUACGGGUGGCUGCAGUCGAGAAUCUUCGGCAAUGAGCGCAAGCUUGACCGAGCGACGCCGCGUGCGGGAUGAAGGCCUUCGGGUUGUAAACCGCUGUCGUAGGGGAGCAAGGGAUGAGGGUACUCCCUCUGAUUUGAGCGAUCCUAGGAGGAAGGACGGGCUAAGUUCGUGCCAGCAGCCGCCGUAAGAC
rnacentral:rRNA from 1 species